GUAUAGUAGCCCAAUCUCGGGAGCCCGCAAGGGUUUUUAGGGGAAGCCGGUUGAAAUCCGGCACGGUGCCGCCACUGUGACCGGGGACGAAUUCUCAUUGUCCGACCGGAAGUCAGAAAACCACCCGAGCCCAUAGAGCCUUC
rnacentral:ncRNA from 2 species